GCAGGCGUGGCGGAAUUGGCAGACGCGCUAGACUUAGGAUCUAGUGGGCAGACCCCGUGAGAGUUCGACUCUCUCCGCCUGCACCA
rnacentral:tRNA from 2 species